CACGUAGGGUGCGAGCGUUGUCCGGAAUUAUUGGGCGUAAAGAGCUCGUAGGCGGUGUGUCGCGUCGGCCGUGAAAACCUGCAGCUUAACUGUGGGCUUGCGGUCGAUACGGGCAUCACUGGAGUUCGGCAGGGGAGACUGGAAUUCCUGGUGUAGCGGUGAAAUGCGCAGAUAUCAGGAGGAACACCGGUGGCGAAGGCGGGUCUCUGGGCCGUAACUGACGCUGGAGGAGCGGAAAGCAUGGGGAGCGAACAGG
rnacentral:rRNA from 1 species